GAUCCUGGCUCGGGAUGAACGCUGGCGGCGUGCUUAACACAUGCAAGUCGAACGGGAAACCUUUUAUUGAAGCUUCGGCAGAUUUAGCUGGUUUCUAGUGGCGGACGGGUGAGUAACGCGUGGGUAACCUGCCCUAUACAGGGGGAUAACAACCAGAAAUGGUUGCUAAUACCGCAUAAGCGCACAGGACCGCAUGGUCCGGUGUGAAAAACUCCGGUGGUAUAGGAUGGACCCGCGUUGGAUUAGCCAGUUGGCAGGGUAACGG
rnacentral:rRNA from 1 species